rnacentral:rRNA from 1 species
CCAGCAGCCGCGGUAAUUCCAGCUCCGGUAGCGUGUAUUAAAGUUGUUGCAGUUAAAAAGCUCGUAGUUGAAGUAUUGGUAGGGCUGACCUGAUCUGGCGGUGAAUGCCGCUAGUUUUUCAGUGUCGUGCCUGGUCAUCCUUUCCGUUUUCUUUUAGAAGAUGGGAUCAUUUACUGUAAAAAAAUUAGAGUGUUUCAAGCAAGUUGUAUUGACUGGAAUAUAGUAGUAUGGAAUAAUAAGAUAGGACUUUGAUACUAUUUUGUUGGUUUGUAUAUCAAGGUAAUGAUUAACAGGGACAGUUGGGGGUAUUCGUAUUUGGUUGUCAGAGGUGAAAUUCUUGGAUUUACAAAAGACGAACAACUGCGAAAGCAUUUACCAAGGAUGUUUUCA